UAUAACCCACGGGCUGGAUGGCCACUGACUACUGUGCACAAUUUACUCUGUCAUUUAUUUUCAUAAAAAAGCAAUAUACCUGUAGGUGGUUGAGUAGAAUUGAGUUACUUAUCAUUACAGCCCUGUAAGAUACAGUAUAUGGAUAAAGCAUUAGGGAAUGAUGGUGAAUAAUGUGUUUUAUAACUGCAGUUUAGGUUCUGCCAUAUGCAUAUUAAAUCUGUACUGUGUUUACUUUAUUUAUGUAAAUAGAAAUGGUAUAUAUAGCAUAAUGUUCUGGAACAAUACAUUUAUUAACAAAUAUUUUCUGUGUAGUGUACGCAUUAUAUGCCAUAUAUUAUGUAAAAACAUUGCAUAUAUUUGGCCUUAAUUUUUUUUUUUUUUAAUGAAAUAUAUACUUUUUAUCAUUUUCUCUUUUAAAUAUAUGUGACUCUGAGGGUGUGUGUGUGUAUCAUGCACAGAAGCCAAUAGCCAUUCAGCAGUAGUCAGUUCCUGGUCACUUUUACUGUUCAGUGAUUGGCUAGCAGCUCAAUACAGUCUUGCAGCUCUUUUGUGAGGAUAUGACUGCAUGGAUACGUCCCAAAUGACACCCAUUUAUAGUGCCCUUUAUCGUGCCCUACUUUUGACCAGAGCCCUGUGGCACCCUAUUCCCUAUAUAGUGCCCUACUUUAGACCAGAGCCCUAUGGCACCCUAUUCCCUAUAUAGUGCCCUACUUUAGACCAGAGCCCUAUGGCACCCUAUUCCCUACAUAGUGCACUACUUUAGACCAGAGCCCUAUGGCACCCUAUUCCCUAUAUAGUGCACUACUUUAGACCAGAGCCCUAUGGCACCCUAUUCCCUAUAUAGUGCACUACUUUAGACCAGAGCCCUAUGGCACCCUAUUCCCUACAUAGUGCACUACUUUAGACCAGAGCCAUGUGGGGAAUUAUCCUGGAGAAAUCCAGUCAGUUUUGAGCUAACAUUCCUCUCCUUAACACUCCUUGUCAUGCCAAUUUAUUAAUUUGGGCACAAAACAAGUUCUGGAUUUCAGGCUUUAUGAGGAAUUGGGUGUCAUUUGAAACGUAGUCUUCCCUCUCUACACAUCCUACUGGCGAACACUCAGUAGCAAACUAUGGAAGAUUUGGCUGAGAUAUACACUGAGUAUACCAAACAUUAAGAACACCUUCCGAACAUGGCUUUGUACCCCCUUUUGCCCUCAGAACAGCCUCAAUUCGUCGGGGCAGGGACUCUACAAGGUGUAGAAAGCCUUCCACAGGGAUGCUGGCCUAUGUUGACUCUACAAGGUGUCGAAAGCCUUCCACAGGGAUGUUGGCCUAUGUUGACUCCAAUGCUUCCCGCAUUUGUGUCAAGUUGACUGGAUGUCCUUUUGGGUGGUGGUCCAUUUUUGAUACACACGGGGACACUGUUGCGUGAAAAACCCAGCAGCGUUGCAGUUCUUGACAAGCUGGUGUGCCUGGCAUCUACUACCAUACCCAUGUUCAAAGGCACUUCAAUAUGUUGUCUUGCCCAUUCACCCUCUGAAUGGCAACAAUAACCUGUCUCAAUUUUCUCAAGGCUUAAAAAUCCUUCUUUAACCCGUCUCCUCCUCGUCUACAUUUUACAAGUGACAUCAAUCGGGGAUCAUAGCUUUCACCUGGAUUCACCUGGGGUAGUUUGUCAUGGAAAGAGCAGGUGUUCUUCAUGUUUUGUAUACUUAGUGAAAAUAAAACUGUCUCGGUUCAAUGUCACUCAAUCGUGACAUAUGAUAGUAUAAUAUAAUAAGUAUAAGCAGUCUUACGGCUUCUCCAUGGCAGGUAUGUUUUUGCUUUUCAAAGCAGAACAAAAAAAUCCAGUGAAAAAACAGUUGUUAUAAUUUGUUUUCCAAGGUAUUUUAUUUAACACAUUUCAAUGUGUUCUAUGUGUUUGGUUGGUUGUACUGUAGGUGUACAGCAAUAACCAGACUGGGGAAAACUAGUUAAGUGUGUAUCAGUUUUUCAUGUUUAUCAAAAAACAUAAACCCUCCAGCCACUGUUGAUGAUUGGUCUUCAUCAGAAUACACACAUCAGAUCAGGAUACACAAGUCACUCUCUGUAGUAAUGGGAUCAUGAAUACACACAUCAGAUCAGAUCAGGAUACACAAGUCACUCUCUGUAGUAAUGGGAUCAUGAAUACACACAUCAGAUCAGAAUACACAAGUCACUCUCUGUAGUAAUGGGAUCAUGAAUACACACAUCAGAUCAGGAUACACAAGUCACUCUCUGUAGUAAUGGGAUCAUGAAUACACACAUCAGAUCAGAAUACACAAGUCACUCUCUGUAGAAAUGGGAUCAUGAAAGGGAUGUUACUCCUCGUCAACAACAUUGUCAUAUUGCAUGUAGUCUUUAAGUUUUACAUAUUG
ensembl:lncRNA